GAUGAACGCUGGCGGCGUGCCUAAUACAUGCAAGUCGAGCGAACGGACGAGAAGCUUGCUUCUCUGAUGUUAGCGGCGGACGGGUGAGUAACACGUGGAUAACCUACCUAUAAGACUGGGAUAGCUUCGGGAAACCGGAGCUAAUACCGGAUAAUAUUUUGAACCGCAUGGUUCAAAAGUGAAAGACGGUCUUGCUGUCACUUAUAGAUGGAUCCGCGCUGCAUUAGCUAGUUGGUAAGGUAACGGCUUACCAGGGCAACGAUGCAUAGCCGACCUGAGAGGGUGAUCGGCCACACUGGAACUGAGACACGGUCCAGACUCCUACGGGAGGCAGCAGUAGGGAAUCUUCCGCAAAGGGCGAAAGCCUGACGGAGCAACGCCGCGUGAGUGAUGAAGGUCUUCGGAUCGUAAAACUCUGUUAUUAGGGAAGAACAUAUGUGUAAGUAACUGUGCACAUCUUGACGGUACCUAAUCAGAAAGCCACGGCUAACUACGUG
rnacentral:rRNA from 1 species